GACGAACGCUGGCGGCGUGCUUAACACAUGCAAGUCGAACGAAGAGCGAUGGAAGCUUGCUUCUAUCAAUCUUAGUGGCGAACGGGUGAGUAACGCGUAAUCAACCUGCCCUUCAGAGGGGGACAACAGUUGGAAACGACUGCUAAUACCGCAUACGAUCUAAUCUCGGCAUCGAGGAAAGAUGAAAGGUGGCCUCUAUUUAUAAGCUAUCACUGAAGGAGGGGAUUGCGUCUGAUUAGCUAGUUGGAGGGGUAACGGCCCACCAAGGCGACGAUCAGUAGCCGGUCUGAGAGGAUGAACGGCCACAUUGGGACUGAGACACGGCCCAGACUCCUACGGGAGGCAGCAGUGGGGAAUCUUCCGCAAUGGACGAAAGUCUGACGGAGCAACGCCGCGUGAGUGAUGACGGCCUUCGGGUUGUAAAGCUCUGUUAAUCGGGACGAAAGGCCUUCUUGCGAAUAGUGAGAAGGAUUGACGGUACCG
rnacentral:rRNA from 1 species